UAUAAUUCAAAAGGCCCAUAAUUUGUUGAAACAGAUUAAAAGAAUUCGCUAUAUUUUUCCACAUUGAAUUAUACAUGAGAAUUUGAAUGCUAAGCUUCGAUGACAGUGAAGAAUUAGUAAUCAAACUUCAGGCAGCACAGGCAAAAAAUCAGUCAAUCAAUAAAUAAAUAAAUUCCUGCAAUAUCCAAACAGAUUACUGUAUAAAAUUUUAAAAAAGUUUACAUAGUUCUUUUCAGCAAAUAACUUAAACAAAUUCCACAUUUGAAUAAAAAUAACCGAUUCGGAAAAUUUAUGACUAAAAAAUACCUCGGAGAGUCGAUUGCUCUGAUUUCUUCAUGACCGGAAUAUCUACAAGCAUAAUUUUUUUUUUAAGGAAAAACUCAAAUUAUGAAUAAAUUAGAAAAUAUGGAACAAACAUGAGAAAUUGAUAUCGGAGCUUUGGUAUAAGAUCAGAUCCAGAAGAAGCUUCGCAAAUUCUUUUUGCGCCUCUCUCUUUCGAAAUCUCCAUUAGCUAUUCAAAAUCAUCGCCAACAACAAUAAACAAAACACUAGGAGAAAUCAAAAAUCAAUAAACACUAUCAAAUUUGCAUUAAAUAUUAUUCAAAUUUCUAAAAAGAUUACAAAUCUAUAAACACUAUUAAUCAAAUUAUCUUUACCGUUUGUUGAUCGAGUGAAGCACGAUGAGCGUCCACAUGAAAAUAAAAUAGAAAAAGAAAUUUCAAAGAAAAAAUUGUUCUUAAUUUUGAUAUUAUUUUCGUUGAAGCGCAGAGAUUAUAUAUAUAUCCCUACAAAAUUA
rnacentral:lncRNA from 1 species